UGGAGGGGGAGGAGGAGGGGGAGGAGCAGGAGGCGGAGGAGGACCAGGACCAGGAGCAGGAGCACGUUGCAAGACCGGACUGAUGAGAGCCGCCGGCAUGCGCUGCGCCGGAUGCGGUGGCGGCGGCGGCGGCGGCGGUGGCAACAUCAACGGUGAUGACGGCGGCGUCGCCACCGGCACUGCCGUCGCGACGGCGGCCAUGAGGCGCUCCAGGUGCGCCUCCACAAGGAUCGCUGGCGGCCUGUUUUGGGGCUGACGUUGCAAGCAAUGAAGCGCCACUGCCCGGUAGGUCUCCGGGCACGAGGGUGGGAAGGCGGGGAAGAUGCUGCUAUAGCGGGGGCCUUGGUCGGUGCGGAUGCCGGCGCGGCGGCCGUGGUAGAGCUCCCAUAGCAUCACACCCAGCGAGAACACUUGNNNNNNNNNNNNNNNNNNNNNNNNNNNNNNNNNNNNNNNNNNNNNNNNNNAGCCUCAUUCAGCCCCCCAUCCUGAGUGUACGGCACUUGUGCCGGCGACAACACACAAUGCGACAACGGCACCUCCGCUCUGGCAUUGCGCGACGUUGAGCAACGUCGCACCGAGGGCCACCACCGCCACCACACACACCGCCCAGCCACAGCUACAGCCACAGCCACAGAUGGAAAGGUAUAACCAACAGCCUGCCGCUCUCACUCCAAAGAACAACUCCCAGAAAUCUAUAUUCAAACGAUUUCAUUCAUUAUAUUUUAUAUAAUUUAUAUUUUCCUCCUCGUACAUCGUUUCCAUCCUUGUAUAUAAGCUUCUGUCCGUUGCCGGAUAAUAAUAAUAAAAACCAACCUCUGCAACCAUUAAUUAACAGCUCCCCGCCACCUGUAAACUCCGUCCCGAGCGGAGCGACGAGCCGAUCAACACCUUUUCCUCGAAGUGUGAAGAUUCCAGAGAGAUUCGUUGCUUUUACGGCAGUGCCGUACCGUACACGUCACCACAUCAAACAUGCUGCGUGAUUCCUGAUUGCUGGAUCUGGACCUGAAUCUGGAAUCUACGUAGCCUGACUCACCUUUUUGAGUUUUAAACAUACAUCGCCUGGAUCUGGAUUUCGAUCUGGAACUGAAUCCUGCCAGGAUGCACCCGUACACAAUCUUUGCCUGUCUUCCCCGCCCAUCUCCGCCCAUCGGCGCGCAGAUUUAUACCACAGAUAAACUACUGUUCACAUAAUCUCUAUAUAUAGUAUAGCCGUUUUGGUGAUGUGUACGUCGUUGUACGUCGGCGGCGGGCCAGAUGGGCCCCCUAGAUUUUCGUUCCGUCGUAUGUAUGUAUGUAUGUAUGUCUUACGCACUGCUGGCCCCGGCUCCGUGACCUUGCGUCGACGGCAGCAUACUCGACCCCGUGAAGGAGUCCCCUGCUGCUCCUGUCGCUAGAGAGCCCAGCUCUGGAGGGGGAGGAGGAGGGGGAGGAGCAGGAGGCGGAGGAGGACCAGGAGCACGUUGCAAGACCGGACUGAUGAGAGCCGCCGGCAUGCGCUGCGGCGGAUGCGGCGGCGGCGGCGGCGGUGGCAACAUCAACGGUGAUGACGGCGGCGUCGCCACCGGCACUGCCGUCGCGACGGCGGGCAUGAGGCGCUCCAGGUGCGCCUCCACAAGGAUCGCUGGCGGCCUGUUUUGGGGCUGACGUUGCAGGCAGUGAAGCGCCACUGCCCGGUAGGUCUCCGGGCACGAGGGUGGGAAGGCGGGGAAGAUGCUGCUAUACCGGGGACCUUGGUCGGUGCAGAUGCCGGCGCGGCGGCCGUGGUAGAGCUCCCAUAGCAUCACACCCAGCGAGAACACUUGGGUGGUUGCAUGUAUGUAUGUGUGUGUGGGGGGGUAGGUUUGUGUGUUGUGUGUGGNGNGGGGAGGUAGGGGUAUAGCGGUGUAGUGAUGUAGACGACGACAAGCGGGACGG
rnacentral:lncRNA from 1 species